UGGACCAUUGGUGAUGCCUGGUGGUGCAUGAGUCAUGGAUGAUGAUUAAUAUGUAUCUGGAACUCUGAGGUCCAA